AUUUCCCCAAAUCUCUACAAUAGUCAUAAUUCCAUACCAGUUUAAACAGUAUCUUCUGAACAUCAUGUGUGGGUAGAAAUCCCUCUGGGGUGGAGGUAUUGUUCAAGAAAUGUUUACAUGAGAACUAUCAAUAAAAAAGUUCUUUGUUGUGUUGACAUGUAGCAAAUUAAAAUAUCAAAAUUUCAACUUCCAUAGAUUAGUUUCGAAUCGAACCUGGGUGCGUACCAGAACGUUGCAGUGCUGCAAAUGAAUUCACAAAAUGGCAAUACUGAUUACAUUAACAUAUGGUACUGUAAUACUACUCAAUUGAAAAUUGCAAUAGGCAGUCUUUGAUACAAAUAUUGGCACCAGUCAAAAUUGACUGCUGGCAUAGAACGCAGGAUCAUGAAAUUGGGUUUUUAUAUUCUCUGUUUUUAUUCAUGUUUUGUUUAAUGUCCUGCUCCUGUAUUUUAUGAAUGAUUGGAGGCGUUCAUCAUUCUUUUUUCUCUGUUUUACAUUUUGUAAGUCAUCUUGAAUUUUACUUUAAACAACACAAGCACAGACAAGAAAUACUUUAGCCCAUAAAUACAAUUCCUCCAAGCAGAUGGAAUUGAUCUUUUCAUGCCAAACUUGACCCUUAACCCUCAGAGAACUGUUCAGUAUUCAAUAUUGGUAGAAUAUCAGACUUAUGGGGCUAUUUAAUGGGUUUGGAACACCAUUAAGGAUGUAAUUCUAUACUCAAGUUUCUGCUGCUGCUGUGCUGGCAAAACUCAAGAUAUGCCUCCAGCAGAACUUCCCAGAUGUGAUGGUAAGAUGGCCUAAACAAGUGGAGCCGUGGGUGACGCAGAGGGGAAGAAUGCUUCUGCUGUAGCCUCUAUUCCUUCAGUCCAUGAGCAUCCCCUCACCAAUGGUGCAACUUUAUACCAGCCCCGGACUUCGGGCAAAUAAUCCCUUCCCAUUGACUUCAGUGGAAGGGCGUGGGGAAAAGACACUCCCAUGUUGAUAAAUGUUGUACUCUCAUUGGCAUAACAGAAGAUAGAAUAUGUUGUAACUCUGCUUCCAAUCACAGCACACACAAGUACAUAAACCCUACAAAGGGAGACCACAACUCCGAUGAUAACCCUAUCCUCUGCAACCCAUGCGCAGCAUAGGGGCUAUAUCUCUUUGGCCUCAGGUUUUGCACAAUAAGCGUGCGUAAUGGAGUACUCUGGAGAUGGGAAAGGGACACAAAAGGAGCACUUUGCACAUCCAGGGGAAUUUGAGCACAUGGCUAACACUUCUCUACUUAGAACCACAAUAGGUGCCUCACCGUGGGACUACAGGCACCCAACUCCAUCCCACUCCAACAGAUGGGUGUCGGGACACAACACACAGGCUGCUCUUGCAGAUACAUGACCCAUCCCACACCCUGUUCCUUGCUCACCAGAAGGGAGGACCAUCUCAUGACCAGCAGCAGUGACUUGGAUGCUCCUGACUGUUCCCUUGUGGAGUUAUUAACCAUUUUGCUCCAGUCCAGGCUCCUAUAGCCUUACCACCCCCCCGUGCCAGAUAACUGUGCAACAGGUAAAGGUGCCCUCAUUGUGGAGCUGGUGGUAUCAGGAACGCUGCACCCACUACCCAGCUGUUUGUCGAACCACUGUCCAAGACACAGGAGCCAAGCUGGGGCACAUGGUUGGCAGCCCUGCACAUGUGCCUCUCCCUUUCAGGGUCUUGUGCCUCCAGAAUGCUGUUCUCCAACAGCAUUUGAUUAUUUUAUUAGUUUUCAUCUCAUGCGAUUGUUUACAGCUCUCUAUAUGUGAUAUAGUGAUUUAAUUGUGGUGGUGUCAUGUUUUAUGCUGUGUGCUAGUGUUGGAUUUUAAUGUGGAAUUUCUAUUAUUUUUUAUGUUGUCAUUUUGUUUUAAUUGUUGUACGUUGCCUAGAGGACUCUGUUGAGAGAUGACUAAUAAUUGUAAAUAAUAAUAAUAAACAAAGGCUGUGACUCCCA